rnacentral:lncRNA from 1 species
AUUCCAUUGUGUAUAUAUGUCUGGCUACAGUUUUAGAGGAAAAUAUUGAUAAUAUCAUCCUGAAAUAAUGAUGUGAAAGCACUCUUUUCUGUAUGAUAUGUAUAAAUUUAAGGACUAGAGGAAAUAUCCAUAGCUGGAUUUCUCAACUGUCAGCUUUGUUAUAUAAAACACACUUUUAGGACUGGGGCUGUAGCUCGGUGCUAAAGCACUUGCCUCACAUGUGUGAGGCACUGGGUUCGAUCCUCAGCACCACAUAAAAAUAAAUAAAGAUAUUGUGUGUCUAUCUACAACUGAGAAAAAUGUUUUUUAAAAAACCACGUUUUUAGUAUCUAGGGCUAUUACUGUGGUAGAAAUAAACUUGAUGUUGCCAACCUCUUUAAAAAACUUUUUAUUGAAAAAUAAUAUACUGAAAAAAAAGAAAGAAAAACCAAUAUACUGAAAGUACACUUAAGCAUACAGUUUGAUGAAUUUUCCCAAAAUGAAGACAGCCUUAGAACAAAUACCCAGGCUAAGAGCAUAACCAGCCCCCACAAAAUCCCCUAUCAUGCAUUCUUCUAAACACUAAUCCAAGAAUAACCUUUAUCCUGACUGCUAACAGUGCAAACUAGUAGUGCUUAUUUUCGCACUGUAUAUAACUAUAAUCAUAUAAUGUGUGCUCAUUUGUGUCUGGCUUCUUUCAUUCAUCAUUCUACAUUUAUAAAAUUUAUCUACAUUGAUUCAUGUCAUUUAGAAGUAGAUCAUUCACUGUCUAUAUUGUACAGUAUCUUAUUUGGUGAACAUGUCACAACUUUUUUAUGCAUUCUGUUGCUGAUGGGCAUUUGGGAAAUUCCAGUUUAAGCAUAUUUGAACAUUCUACAACAUGUCUUUUGGUUACCAUUUCACAUAUUUCUGUUGCAUAGACCCCUAUGAGUAGGCUUAAUGAGCCCUAGGGUAGCUUAUAUUCAACUGCAGUAGAUACUACAAAGCAUUUUCCCAAAGGGGCUAUAUCAAUUUAUACUUCAUGGUACAUGUGAGUUCCCGUUGUCCCACAUUGCUGUGGCUUGAACAUACCCCCCCAAAGUUCAUGCUUGGGGAGACUAGAUGCCCAAUGUGGAGGCAUUGAAAGAUGCAAUCUUUAAGUGGUGUUUAGGUCAUGAGAAGUCUGUCUUCACCAAUGGAUUCAUGCUACUAUCAUAGGAGUAGAUCUGUUAUCUCCAGAGUAAGUUUCUUAGGAAAGGACAAACUCAGCCUCCUCUUGCUUUCUCACGUUUUCCCUCUCUCUCUCUCUCUCUCUCUCUCUCUCUCUCUCUCUCUCUCUCUCUCUUUCCUUCCCAGGUGAUGCCUUCUCUCAUGUUAUAAUUUAACAAGAAGGCCAUUG